rnacentral:rRNA from 1 species
GACGAACGCUGGCGGCGUGCCUAACACAUGCAAGUCGAACGGAGAUACCAUAGCAGCAAUGUUGGGGUAUUUGAGUGGCGGACGGGUGAGUAACACGUGAACAACCGGUCCUCAAGGGGGGCUAACUCCGGGAAACCGGAGCUAAUACCGCAUCAGACCACACUGCCGCAUGGACGAGAGGUCAAAGGAGCAAUCCGCGUGAGGGAGGGUUCGCGGCCCAUUAGAGAGUUGGCGGGGUAAUGGCCCACCAAGUCAGCGAUGGGUAGCCGGGCUGAGAGGCUGAACGGCCACACUGGGACUGAGACACGGCCCAGACUCCUACGGGAGGCAGCAGUGGGGAAUAUUGGGCAAUGGGGGAAACCCUGACCCAGCAACGCCGCGUGAAGGAAGAGGGUCUUCGGAUUGUAAACUUUUGUCCCGCGGGAAGAAAAAAAUGACGGUACCGCGGGAGGAAGCCCCGGCUAACUACGAGCCAGCAGCCGCGGUAACAC